rnacentral:rRNA from 1 species
GGGAUAACACUUGGAAACAGGUGCUAAUACCGUAUAACACUAUUUUCCGCAUGGAAGAAAGUUGAAAGGCGCUUUUGCGUCACUGAUGGGUGGACCCGCGGUGCAUUAGCUAGUUGGUGAGGUAACGGCUCACCAAGGCCACGAUGCAUAGCCGACCUGAGAGGGUGAUCGGCCACACUGGGACUGAGACACGGCCCAGACUCCUACGGGAGGCAGCAGUAGGGAAUCUUCGGCAAUGGACGAAAGUCUGACCGAGCAACGCCGCGUGAGUGAAGAAGGUUUUCGGAUCGUAAAACUCUGUUGUUAGAGAAGAACAAGGAUGAGAGUAAAAUGUUCAUCCCUUGACGGUAUCUAACCAGAAAGCCACGGCUAACUACGUGCCAGCAGCCGCGGUAAUACGUAGGUGGCAAGCGUUGUCCGGAUUUAUUGGGCGUAAAGCGAGCGCAGGCGGUUUCUUAAGUCUGAUGUGAAAGCCCCCGGCUCAACCGGGGAGGGUCAUUGGAAACUGGGAGACUUGAGUGCAGAAGAGGAGAGUGGAAUUCCAUGUGUAGCGGUGAAAUGCGUAGAUAUAUGGAGGAACACCAGUGGCGAAGGCGGCUCUCUGGUCUGUAACUGACGCUGAGGCUCGAAAGCGUGGGGAGCGAACAGGAUUAGAUACCCUGGUAGUCCACGCCGUAAACGAU